rnacentral:misc_RNA from 1 species
GGGAAUCAUCGAAUUUUUGAAAGAAAAGGGAGAGGGGGGGAAGAACGGGAAGUAUGCCUGUUUGAGGGUCAGUAUUAAUAAAAAAUCGGUUUAGUAACAAACUGUGAAGUUUCCGGAGUUUGGGCUAUCUUAACAUUUUUGGUUAAGAGGCUUAAAAUUGACCUUUUUUGCGCAUUUUUAAACGUACAUAAAUUUUUUUUAUUCGUCUAUGAGGCACGCCACAAUCUUAUUUGACGCGCGAAAACC